rnacentral:rRNA from 1 species
UCGCGGCCUAUCAGCUUGUUGGUGAGGUAAUGGCUCACCAAGGCGACGACGGGUAGCCGGCCUGAGAGGGUGACCGGCCACACUGGGACUGAGACGCGGCCCAGACUCCUACGGGAGGCAGCAGUGGGGAAUAUUGCACAAUGGGCGAAAGCCUGAUGCAGCGACGCCGCGUGAGGGAUGACGGCCUUCGGGUUGUAAACCUCUUUCAGUAGGGAAGAAGCGAAAGUGACGGUACCUGCAGAAGAAGCGCCGGCUAACUACGUGCCAGCAGCCGCGGUAAUACGUAGGGCGCAAGCGUUAUCCGGAAUUAUUGGGCGUAAAGAGCUCGUAGGCGGUUUGUCGCGUCUAUCGUGAAAGUCCGAGGCCCAACCUCGGAUCUGCGGUGGGUACGGGCAGACUAGAGUGAUGUAGGGGAGACUGGAAUUCCUGGUGUAGCGGUGAAAUGCGCAGAUAUCAGGAGGAACACCGAUGGCGAAGGCAGGUCUCUGGGCAUUAACUGACGCUGAGGAGCGAAAGCAUGGGGAGCGAACAGGAUUAGAUACCCUGGUAGUCCAUGCCGUAAACGUUGGGCACUAGGUGUGGGGGACAUUCCACGUUUUCCGCGCCGUAGCUAACGCAUUAAGUGCCCCGCCUGGGGAGUACGGCCGCAAGGCUAAAACUCAAAGGAAUUGACGGGGGCCCGCACAAGCGGCGGAGCAUGCGGAUUAAUUCGAUGCAACGCGAAGAACCUUACCAAGGCUUGACAUGUGCCAGACCGCCGUGGAAACACGGUUUCCCCUUUGGGGCUGGUUCACAGGUGGUGCAUGGUUGUCGUCAGCUCGUGUCGUGAGAUGUUGGGUUAAGUCCCGCAACGAGCGCAACCCUCGUUCUAUGUUGCCAGCACGUGAUGGUGGGGACUCAUAGGAGACUGCCGGGGUCAACUCGGAGGAAGGUGGGGGACGACGUCAAAUCAUCAUGCCCCUUAUGUCUUGGGCUUCACGCAUGCUACAUGGCCGGUACAAUGGGUUGCGAUACUGUGAGUGAGCUAAUCCC